GGCGGUGCUUUAGACCCCCCUAGAGGAGCCUGUUCUAGAACUGAUAACCCCCGUUAAACCUCACCAUCCUUUGUUUAACCCGCCUAUAUACCACCGUCGUCAGCUUACCCUGUGAAGGUAAAAUAGUAAGCAUAAAUGGCAAAGCCAAA
rnacentral:rRNA from 1 species